ACGAUGAAGAAGCAGCGAAAUGCGAUAUGUGGUGUGAAUUGCAGAAUUCCGUGAAUCAUCGAAUUUUUGAACGCAACUUGCGCCCGAGGUUUGUCCCGAGGGCAUGCCUGCCUGAGCGUCU
rnacentral:rRNA from 1 species